CAGCACCACCUGUCUCCACACCUCCACAUCACCUCAACUCUACUGUAUCUGUGACAACCAUGGUAACUAACACCACGGUUGGGCCACUGUCUGAAUCAGUCAUCAUUCUUGGAGCAGUUCUGGGAGGUGUUGUGUUUCUGUGUGUGUUCAUGGCAGUGUUUUGCAUCUGCAAAAAGAA